UCCAGCUGUUUAUCUCCUGCCAUUCCUUUUCUUGUUAGGCCUGGGAAGAAACUGAGUUUUCAGAGCAUUCUAUUGUUGCUGUAGAACACAAUUUGCUCUGCUGCAGAGCAAGCCAGGCAGAGUGAGCUGUGACUCUUUUCCUUCCUUGCUGGCUGCCUGUCUGGCAUCACUUUCCCUCAUAAGCUGGGUUCUUAAGUGGAGACAGUGCAUCCAAGGAGUGCAGGGGCAAGUGAGAGCUGAGGUUCCUGUGCUGACCACUGGCUGCCUGGAUGAUGCUGUUCCAGCUGCUUCACAACUCUGUGCCUCAGUUUCCCCUUCUUCAUGUCGGAAGCUGGGAUUCAGUCCUGCCCUGCAGACAGCUGAGAGGGCUGACAUUCCAUGUCCUGGGACUGUGGUUACCAAGCCCUGGGGCUACACAGACCUGAUCUCCCUCCUGGAUUUCUCCAAGUGCCUGUCCAAGUGAUAGUUUUUUCUCCAGAAAUGAAGAACAGUUAAAAGCAGAGAACAAAACCCACCAUAAGACCAAAAGCAACAAUGGAGUAUUUUCCCUCCUGAAUGUUUGUUACAGCUCUUGCUGGCCAUGCAAAAAAAAAAAAAAAAAAAAAAAAAAAAGCCCAAAUAAAAUCUGGCACACAGGU